GAUGGUUGAACCCCCUCCCCUACUA
rnacentral:tRNA from 1 species